GUGAUUUGGGGGAUAGGGGGUGGGGUUGGAACUAAAAUGGAACCAACAAGCAGCUGUAUGGAAUCAAAUGGAAAGGUCUCUUGACAGCCUAUGGGUUCUUGAACUCUCUCACCUAUUUCUUUGCCUAUAAACUCUUUCCACGGUAACCAUACAGCUGCAAAAUCCAGGUAUUGGGUCUCCUUUCGUCGGAAUGAAGUGUCUAAUAAUUGGAUCGGAGAGUCCAAAGGCCGUCAAGUAACCUCUGUCUAAACAGCCAGGUGGGAAUUCUACAUUGUUUGUCAGGGGAAUUAGAGAUGAUGGGUAAGGUGCUAGGUUAAGUUUGUCAUUAAGCUUAUGCCAUAUUUCUACACAGUUUUGUAACAACAUAUGUGAUUUCACUUCAGGAGGGAGGUUAUGCUUUUUGAUCCAUAUUACUGAGCCUAGCCUUCCUUUCAGCCAUGCAUUUUCUAAUGUUUUCCAUUGGACUUUGGAAGCUUGUUUAGUGUAUUCUAAAAUCUUUGCUAAAAUACUGGAUUGAUAAUAUGUUUCUAAAUCUGGCAUUCCCAAACCCCCUCUUAAUUUUGGUCUGUAUAAUGUCUCUCUAUUAAUCCUGUUUCUUCCUUUAUUCCAUAUGUAUAAGUCUAAGGCUGAAUUCACCUCUUUAAAGUAACUUUUAUUUAUGGGAAUAGGUAACGUGCUAAACAGAUAGAUACAUUUUGGUAAUAUCGACAUUUUUAUGGUAUUGAUUUUCCCUGUCCAUGUUAUUCUUUUCAUUGCCCAUUAUGUAAGUAAGCUUUUCACUUCUGUCAGUAAUGGAAUUACACAGUAUCUUGUACUUGAUCCUAACUAAGAUAUAGAUAACUGUUA